UACGUAGGGGGCAAGCGUUGUCCGGAUUUAUUGGGCGUAAAGGGCGCGUAGGCGGCCUUCUAAGUCGAACGUGAAAUCCCCGGGCUCAACCUGGGAAUGGCAUUCGGGACUGCAAGGCUGGAGUGCGGCAGAGGAGACUGGAAUUCCUGGUGUAGCAGUGAAAUGCGUAGAUAUCAGGAGGAAUACCGAUGGCGAAGGCAGGUCUCUGGGCUGACACUGACGCUCAUGCACGAAAGCGUGGGGAGCAAACAGG
rnacentral:rRNA from 1 species